rnacentral:ribozyme from 16 species
GCAAGAACAAAGGCGCCGACGGAUCUAACAAGAGAAAGAAAGAAGAAGAAUGAUUGAUUGUACAUACAUUUGCAUGCAUAUGUAUGUUAUUAUCCAUUUCAUUUGCUAACAUAUUGCUAUUCGUGUCAUGUU